rnacentral:rRNA from 1 species
ACUCUGGGAUAAGCGCUGGAAACGGCGUCUAAUACUGGAUAUGUGACGUGACCGCAUGGUCUGCGUCUGGAAAGAAUUUCGGUUGGGGAUGGGCUCGCGGCCUAUCAGCUUGUUGGUGAGGUAAUGGCUCACCAAGGCGUCGACGGGUAGCCGGCCUGAGAGGGUGACCGGCCACACUGGGACUGAGACACGGCCCAGACUCCUACGGGAGGCAGCAGUGGGGAAUAUUGCACAAUGGGCGCAAGCCUGAUGCAGCAACGCCGCGUGAGGGACGACGGCCUUCGGGUUGUAAACCUCUUUUAGCAGGGAAGAAGCGAAAGUGACGGUACCUGCAGAAAAAGCGCCGGCUAACUACGUGCCAGCAGCCGCGGUAAUACGUAGGGCGCAAGCGUUAUCCGGAAUUAUUGGGCGUAAAGAGCUCGUAGGCGGUUUGUCGCGUCUGCUGUGAAAUCCGGAGGCUCAACCUCCGGCCUGCAGUGGGUACGGGCAGACUAGAGUGCGGUAGGGGAGAUUGGAAUUCCUGGUGUAGCGGUGGAAUGCGCAGAUAUCAGGAGGAACACCGAUGGCGAAGGCAGAUCUCUGGGCCGUAACUGACGCUGAGGAGCGAAAGGGUGGGGAGCAAACAGGCUUAGAUACCCUGGUAGUCCACCCCGUAAACGUUGGGAACUAGUUGUGGGGUCCAUUCCACGGAUUCCGUGACGCAGCUAACGCAUUAAGUUCCCC